rnacentral:rRNA from 1 species
AGAAUUGACCUCGGAUCAGGUAGGGAUACCCGCUGAACUUAAGCAUAUCAAUAAGCGGAGGACAAGAAACCAACGGGGAUUGCCUCAGUAACGGCGAGUGAAGCGAA